GGGGCGGGGCCGCGCCUGCGCAGACGUUCCCUCUCGGUCCACUCUUAGGCGCAGACCGGAAAUCUUCCCGGUACCGGCGGCUUCCAACCGGGGACCGAGACUCACCUUCCGGGCACCGGGAAGCUACGGAACAGGUUUCCGGGUUGCAGCACCCAAUGACUACCGCAAAGGCCGGAAGUGCGUCAGCCGUUCUGAGCCCAGUGGCUCAAGCCAGGCAACUCUUUCCUUUCUAGGAAUUCCUGAGGUGGUUGCAUCCUGGUGACUCCUUUAUUGCAUACCCGGGGCCAGAAAUCCCAGCCCCACUGGGUGCGAGGUGAAGAAAUGCAGCGAGGGAUUUCUGCGGGGAGCGCCCCCCAGCCUUUAGGAGUGAGAUGGUCGUAGAGACGCAGAACAGAGCAGGAAGGUGUUAGGAAGAUAUAAAGGAAGAGAGAGCGAGAAACAGGAGGGAUCUGCAGAAAUAGCCCUGGAAGCUGGAGUGAGGCCUGAGGACUGCCUUGGCCCAGGAUGGCUAGAGAAUUUAGUGAAAGAGCGGCCCUGGACGCCCAGUCUACAGAAGACCAGACGGAGCUUCUGGUCAUAAAGGUGGAGGAAGAAGAGGCCGGUUUUCCCAGUAGCGCGGAUCUGGGUUCCGAGCGCUCGCGCCAGCGCUUCCGCGGCUUCCGCUUCCCGGAGGCUGCGCGCCCCCGCCAGGCGCUGAGCCGCCUCCGAGAGCUCUGCCGACAGUGGCUGCAGCCCGAGAUGCACAGCAAGGAGCAGAUCGUGGAGCUGCUGGUGCUGGAGCAGUUCCUGACCAUCCUGCCGGGGAGCGUGCAGAGCUGGGUGCGGGAGCGGCAUCCAGAGAGCGGGGAGGAGGUGGUGCUGCUGCUGGAGUAUUUGGAGAGGCGGCGGGAUGAGCCGGCGCCGCAGGUUCCAGGCAUUGACCAGGGGCAAGAGCUUCCCUGUUGCAAGAUGGCACUGUUGCCAGCAUCCCCAGAGUCACAAAGUAGCCAAGCUCAGCUAAUGAAGGCUCUGUUCAAGCAUGAAUCUUUGAGAUCCCAACUCUUGCAAGACAGAGUUCUCCAGGUCCCUGUGUUUGCCCAUGGAGGGUACUGCAGAGGAGAUGCAGUGGUAGCUUCUGGGGUUACUCCAGAGUCCCAGGGGUUGCUGAAAGUGGAAGAUGUGGCCCUGACUCUCACCCCUGAAUGGACACAGCAGGAUUCAUCUCAGGUGAAUCUCUGUAGAGAUGAAAAGCAGGAGAACCAUGGCAGCCUGGUCUCCCUGGGUGGUGAAAUACAGAGUAAGAGCAGGGACUUGCCUCCAGCUGAGGAGCUUCCAGAAAAGGAGCAUGGAAAGAUAUCAUGCUACCUGAUUGAAGACAUUGCCCAGAUUCCUACAUGUGCACAAGCUGGUGAACAGGAGGGCAGGUUACAAAGAAAGCAGAAAAAUGCCACAGGAGGGAGGCGGCACAUCUGUCAUGAAUGUGGAAAGAGUUUUGCUCAAAGUUCAGGCCUGAGUAAACACAGGAGAAUCCACACUGGCGAGAAACCCUAUGAAUGUGAGGAGUGUGGCAAAGCCUUCAUUGGGAGCUCUGCCCUCGUCAUUCAUCAGAGAGUCCACACUGGGGAGAAGCCAUACGAGUGUGAAGAAUGUGGCAAGGCUUUCAGUCACAGCUCAGACCUUAUCAAACACCAGAGAACCCACACUGGGGAGAAGCCCUACGAGUGUGAUGACUGUGGGAAGACCUUUAGCCAGAGCUGCAGCCUCCUUGAACAUCACAGAAUCCACACUGGGGAGAAGCCGUAUCAGUGUAACAUGUGUGGCAAAGCCUUUAGGCGAAGUUCACAUCUCCUGAGACAUCAGAGGAUUCAUACUGGGGAUAAAAAUGUUCAGGAACCUGAGCAGGGAGACGCCUGGAAAAGUAGGAUGGAAAGCCAGUUGGAAAAUGUUGAAACUCCCAUGUCUUACAAAUGUAAUGAGUGUGAAAGAAGUUUCACUCAGAAUUCAGGCCUCAUUGAACAUCAAAAAAUCCACACUGGUGAGAAACCCUAUCAGUGUAACGCAUGUGGAAAAGGCUUCACCCGAAUCUCAUACCUUGCUCAACAUCAGAGAAGCCACGCAGGGAGAAACAUCCUAUCACAGUGACCAUGCCGUCGACGUGAGUUGGUGCUCAUUUGUGACCGAUCUGAAGUCUGGAUUAUAGAACUGGAGUCUGGAUUAUAGAAUUUGUGGACUGGGCUUCAUUUACCGCUAAACAUUAUCAGGUGUUAGAAAAUACAGACUGGGUUAGAUGAAUUAUCUUCUAAAUUCUAGAAGGUGUUUGGAAUCAAAACAUGCUUGAUGGGAGACUGUGGAAAAGUUGUCUAGAAGAGGAAUUGGUUCAUAUGAUUAUCGAGGCUGAGAAGUCCCAGCUUCUCCGAUCUGCAAACUAGAGAUGUAGCAGAGCCAAUGGAGUGAGCAGUCAAAAGGCCAGCAGAUUCAAGACCCAGAAGUCAGUGUUCUAGUUUGAGUCUGAAGGCCAGAAAAGACUGAUGUCCCAGCUCAAGAUGGUCAGGAGGCGUACCCCUUGAGCAUCACGGAUUGCCUGCGCUCCACAUUCUGGAUGAUAUUAUCCUACCUAUAACUGCAGCUUCACAAGUAGGGGCCAGGACCUGUUCCAGCACCUACUUCUUGACAUGUAUUUCUGGCCUCAGGAACUACUGGCAAAGCUUCCCAAGUUUUCUGACAGCUCUGUGAAGUCCAGCUCCUCUCAACGUUUAUCAAGCCCGACCUCACCAGAGACAAUGAAGGGCUGGAGGGCACGAACCUGAGGCCCCCGCCUCCAAAGGUUCAUCGCAAAGGCCGGAAACGCCGGUACUUUCAGGUCCCGCCGCCGCCAACGGCGGUCUCAGCAUUCGGCCUCUCUAGGAUUCUGGAGGCUUUCUCCUCUCUGUGGUUGCCCGGCCGUACCCCGCCCAGCUGAGCACCGCGUUCCAGCUGAGCAGUCAGGUUACCCCAGGGACCCAGGGACCCAGGCCGGGGCGCGUCAGACCCGCGCGACGCCAGCCUUCCCGCUGCGGAACGUCGGAAGAGCAGCUCCGAAGUAAAACUGCGGAUACCAUGGGCUGCUAGUUACCUCCGAUAACUAACGGGCGGAGACAAAAGGGCAGAAAUCUCUCCUUUUCCAACUUGAGCGGGACUCCAUCUUUCUGCUCCUUCUUCAUUUAUAACGUGAGAAGGCUGAAAAGUUACUCUUUAAAGCUUCCCCCGACCCUCACGGUCCGUGAUUAUAAUCUGAAGAGUGGCAGGCCCCGGAAAGGGUCCCUAGGACGCCGGCCAGCGUCGGUGACCCGCCGCUGUCCAGAAAUGCCGGCAAGCGCUGAACCCAGUAAUACACAGCCCGAGGCAAACCUGGAAGGUAUGUAUGAGCCUCACAGCCGGGAAUUCCCGCAGACACUGGGAGCCGACCCCUCACCCCGAAGGGUCCCAAAGCACUUUGGAGAGGGAGAGCUUCCCGCGGAUCCGCCUGGGAUUGGGAGGACGGGGGUGCCCUCUACACCAGCCAGAGCCUGAGGGGCCCAGCGGCUGGAAUACAGCAAUCUCCCGCCCACCUGCCCGCCGCGCACGAAGGACAACGUCGCUCACCUGCGGCCGCCGGCGCCAGCAGGGCACUCCCUCCUAGCGAGCGAAGGGCGGAGUCCUCACACCCUUUCCGGAACCGGAACCCAUCAAAAGCGAUGCACAAAGGCCGGAAGCGGCCGCGGAGGCGCCCUUCCGCUGCCGCUCCCGGAAGGGGGCGAGGGCCUUUCGACUCAGUAGUGUUUCCGGGUGCCUACGCGAGAGUGAUACUCAGGGCUCUCAGGCCCGCAGGUGACAGGUCAUCUCUCAGCUGUCUUUAAGAAAUGUGCAACAGAUUAAGAAAAAGUCUGAAAACUAUUUCAAUAGGUCUAUGCUGUGUACAACUCCCAAGAUUCAGAGCUGAGCUGACCCUUUACUGGCUGGAGCCAGACGCCAGCCUAAGGUUGAACGCUAUACUCUAUUGGUCCCUAUACCACUGAAACACUCCUGUGCUUCCAGGACAUCAUCCAUCUUGUCUGGUAAACCAUUCACUCAAUAGGUUCAUCUUCGGUAACUAGCUAUGUUAAGAAUGGGUUUGUCUUAACAGGGGGUUUGGGUUAGGGACCCUGUGUUUUGUUUCUGCAGACAUAUUAUCCCAUCCUUUCUUGCCUAAUCCAAUAGUUCUAUUACUGGGGGUUAUCUUGGGCUAGGUGGCUACACCUAAGUCUCCAGCAGCCUUUUUCAUGUAUGUUCUGCAUUAGUUUUGACGACAGAACACUGUAAUCUUUCUGAUUCUCUUGUCUCUUCUAUCUCCUUGGUUGAAAAAAUAUUGCCUACUGUAAAAAUUUUUAGUAUAGGGACCACAUAUCCUGGUUUAUGCCUUUUGUCUUGGUGUAAUUAUUAACAGCACUCCUUUUCAUUUUCAGUGAAAAAGAUUCUCAGGUUCUGUUUCAGAAACUGAUUCAGUAGUUAAGUGCAGAUUCUCAGGCUCUGUCUCAGAAACUGCUUCAGUAGGUUUGGGGUGGGGCUCAGAAAACUGCAGUUCAGACAAACAACCCAGGUGACUCUAGUGCAGGUAUCAUCAAGAAAUAGUGUCUUCAACACUGCCCAUUGGCAAUUGGCAUAGAAAACUAGGGAUAGGUUCAAAGAGACCUAAAAAUCACAGAGGUUUAUAGACUAUGCUUUUCUCCCUAUCCAUUUUAUGGGAAAUAAUAAAAUGUGUGAGGAGUAAAGGGCAGUGAGAUUAUUUUCACUGCUUAAACAACAGCAUCUAAAAACUCAGACCAGAUAAAUAAGAGAGAUUUCUAAUAAUGAAGAUGAAGCACGUUUCUUGGCAAUAAUCUGUCCCUGCGUCUAUCUUUUUAUUUUUCCUUUGGUCGCCAUUUUUUGCCCAAUCUAGAGUUUUGGCAUCUAACUUUACCUUCUGAUUCCUUUUUAUGUCCUCAUAUUUUGUUCUUUUUUCUUUCCAUCCCACUUUGUUGCUGCUGUUGUUCGCAGAUGCCUACAAUGAGUCUCAGGGUUCCAAGUGUAAGUGUCUAUGAAACCAUAUAAA